rnacentral:rRNA from 1 species
AUUGAACGCUGGCGGCAUGCCUAACACAUGCAAGUCGAGCGAGCGGCGGACGGGUGAGUCAUGUCUGGGAAACUGCCUGAUGGAGGGGGAUAACUACUGGAAACGGUAGCUAAUACCUCAUACCAUCAGAUGUUCCCAGAGGGGAUUAGCUAGUAGGUGGGGUAACGGCUCACCUAGGCGACGAUCCCUAGCUGGUCUGAGAGGAUGACCAGCCACACUGGGACUGAGACACGGUACAGACUCCUACGGGAGGCAGCAGUGGGGAAUAUUGCAGAAUGGGCGCAAGCCGGAUGCAGCCAGGCCGCGUGUGUGAAGAAGGCCUUCGGGUUGUAAAGCACUUUCAGCGGGGAGGCGUUACCCGCAGAAGAAGCAACGGCUAACUCCGUGCCAGCAGCCGCGGUAAUAC